ACGCCAGACUCCUACGGGAGGCAGCAGUGGGGGAUAUUGCACAAUGGGGGAAACCCUGAUGCAGCGACGCCGCGUGAGUGAAGAUGUCUUUCGGUAUGUAAAGCUCUAUCAGCAGGGAAGAAAAAAGACGGUACCUGACUAAGAAGCCCCGGCUAACUACGUGCCAGCAGCCGCGGUAAUACGUAGGGGGCAAGCGUUACCCGGAUUUACUGGGUGUAAAGGGAGCGUAGACGGCAAUACAAGUCGGAAGUGAAAUUCCCGGGCUUAACCUGGGAACUGCUUUGGAAACGGUAUGGCUGGAGUGUUGGAGAGGUAAGCGGAAUUCCUAGUGUAGCGGUGAAAUGCGU
rnacentral:rRNA from 1 species